UACGGAAGGCAGCAGUGGGGAAUAUUGCACAAUGGGCGAAAGCCUGAUGCAGCUAUGCCGCGUGUAUGAAGAAGGCCUUAGGGUUGUAAAGUACUUUCAUCGGGGAGGAAAAACAAAACUAAUAAUUUUAUUUCUUGACGUUACCCGAAAAAGAAGCACCGGCUAACUCCGUGCCAGCAGCCGCGGUAAUACGGAGGGUGCUAGCGUUAAUCAGAAUUACUGGGCGUAAAGAGCACGUAGGUGGUUUUUUUAAGUCAGAUGUGAAAUCCCUGGGCUUAACCUAGGAACUGCAUUUUGAAACUGAAAUACUAGAGUAUCGUAGAGGGAGGUAGAAUUCUAGGUGUAGCGGUGAAAUGCGUAGAUAUCUGGAGGAAUACCUGUGGCAAAGCGGCCUCCUAAACGAAUACUGACACUGAGGUGCGAAAGCGUGGGGAGCAAACAGGGAUUAGAUACC
rnacentral:rRNA from 1 species